rnacentral:rRNA from 1 species
UUGUGAGGUCAUUUAUUGGCGGGGAGCGGCAGACGGGUGAGUAACGCGUGGGAAUCUACCUGGCUCUGCGGAAUAACCUGAGGAAACUCGGACUAAUACCGCAUACGCCCUUCGGGGGAAAGAUUUAUCGGAGUUGGAUGAGCCCGCGUUUGAUUAGCUAGUUGGUGGGGUAAAGGCCUACCAAGGCGACGAUCAAUAGCUGGUCUGAGAGGAUGAUCAGCCACAUUGGGACUGAGACACGGCCCAAACUCCUACGGGAGGCAGCAGUGGGGAAUAUUGGACAAUGGGCGCAAGCCUGAUCCAGCCAUGCCGCGUGAGUGAUGAAGGCCCUAGGGUUGUAAAGCUCUUUCAACGGUGAAGAUAAUGACGGUAGCCGUAGAAGAAGCCCCGGCUAACUUCGUGCCAGCAGCCGCGGUAAUACGAAGGGGGCUAGCGUUGUUCGGAAUUACUGGGCGUAAAGCGCACGUAGGCGGAUCGUUAAGUGAGGGGUGAAAUCCCGGGGCUCAACCCCGGAACUGCCUUUCAUA